GAUGAACGCUAGCUACAGGCUUAACACAUGCAAGUCGAGGGGAAACGAUAUUGGAAGCUUGCUUCCGAUAGGCGUCGACCGGCGCACGGGUGAGUAACGCGUAUCCAACCUGCCCACCACUUGGGGAUAACCUUGCGAAAGUAAGACUAAUACCCAAUGAUAUCUCUAGAAGACAUCUGAAGGAGAUUAAAGAUUUAUCGGUGAUGGAUGGGGAUGCGUCUGAUUAGCUUGUUGGCGGGGUAACGGCCCACCAAGGCGACGAUCAGUAGGGGUUCUGAGAGGAAGGUCCCCCACAUUGGAACUGAGACACGGUCCAAACUCCUACGGGAGGCAGCAGUGAGGAAUAUUGGUCAAUGGGCGAGAGCCUGAACCAGCCAAGUAGCGUGCAGGAUGACGGCCCUAUGGGUUGUAAACUGCUUUUAUAAGGGAAUAAAGUGAGCCUCGUGAGGCUUUUUGCAUGUACCUUGUGAAUAAGGACCGGCUAAUUCCGUGCCAGCCGCCGCGGUAA
rnacentral:rRNA from 1 species